AUUGAACGCUGGCGGAAUGCUUUACACAUGCAAGUCGAGCGGCAGCGCGGGGGCAACCCUGGCGGCGAGCGGCGAACGGGUGAGUAAUACAUCGGAACGUGUCCUUGAGUGGGGGAUAGCUCGGCGAAAGCCGGAUUAAUACCGCAUAAGCUCUGAGGAGGAAAGCGGGGGAUUCGCAAGGACCUCGCGCUGUUGGAGCGGCCGAUGUCGGAUUAGCUAGNGGUGGGGUAAAGGCCCACCAAGGCGACGAUCCGUAGCUGGUCUGAGAGGAUGAUCAGCCACACUGGAACUGAGACACGGUCCAGACUCCUACGGGAGGCAGCAGUGGGGAAUUUUGGACAAUGGGGGCAACCCUGAUCCAGCC
rnacentral:rRNA from 1 species